rnacentral:lncRNA from 10 species
CCAAAGCAAGUCAUGUGGCUAAGCCCAACAUCAGUGGGGCAGGGAAGUACACACCACCCACGUGGAACGGAGAGGGAAAUGAACACUGGCUGAACAACAGUCCACACUGUCACAGGGCACAGGAGAAACGACAGAAGGGACAAGGGCACGGGAAAGAACCGAGGAACAGGAAGCAGAGCCUGCCAUGUUACUACUUGCAAGUGAAGGAAUGGACGAAGGAAGGAAAGAACGAAUGAAUGAAGGAUGGAAGGCAACUGCUUAAC